rnacentral:rRNA from 1 species
UACGUAGGGUGCGAGCGUUAAUCGGAAUUACUGGGCGUAAAGCGUGCGCAGGCGGUUUUGUAAGCCAGAUGUGAAAUCCCCGGGCUCAACCUGGGAAUGGCAUUUGGGACUGCAAGGCUGGAGUUUGGCAGAGGAGACUGGAAUUCCUGGUGUAGUGGUGAAAUACGUAGAGAUUGGGAAGAACACCAGUGGCGAAGGCGGCUAUCUGGACGGUUUCUGACGCUAAGACGCGAAAGCGUGGGGAGCAAACAGG